rnacentral:rRNA from 1 species
GAUGAACGCUGGCGGCGUGCUUAACACAUGCAAGUCGAACGAUGAUCCCAGCUUGCUGGGGGAUUAGUGGCGAACGGGUGAGUAACACGUGAGUAACCUGCCCUUGACUCUGGGAUAAGCCUGGGAAACUGGGUCUAAUACCGGAUAUGACUGAUCAUCGCAUGGUGGUUGGUGGAAAGCUUUUGUGGUUUUGGAUGGACUCGCGGCCUAUCAGCUGUUGGUGGGGUAAUGGCCUACCAAGGCGACGACGGGUAGCCGGCCUGAGAGGGUGACCGGCCACACUGGGACUGAGACACGGCCCAGACUCCUACGGGAGGCAGCAGUGGGGAAUAUUGGACAAUGGGCGCAAGCCUGAUCCAGCAAUGCCGCGUGGGUGAAGAAGGUCUUCGGAUUUGUAAAGCCCUUUCGACGGGGACGAUGAUGACGGUACCCGUAGAAGAAGCCCGGCUAACUUCGUGCCAGCAGCCGCC